GCGAACGUAGCUCAGUAGGUAGAGCAGCGGAUUGUGGUUCCGCAUGUCGCGGGUUCAAGCCCCGUCGUUCGCC
rnacentral:tRNA from 1 species